rnacentral:lncRNA from 1 species
CGGGUUCAAGCGAUUCUCAUGCCUAGGCCUCUCAAGUAGCUGGGACUACAGUUGUGUGCCACCAUGCCCAGCUAAUUUUUUCAUAUUUUUGUUACAGAUGGGGUUUUGCCAUGUUGGCCAGACUGGUCUCGAACUCCUGGCCUCAAGUGAUCUGCCCACCUUGGCCUCCCAAAGUGCUGGGAUUACAGGCCUGAGCUGCUGCACCUGGCCUAACACAUGCUUUUUGGGGAACACAUUCAAACCAUAGCAGGCUAAGUCCCCUCCCCACUAUGUCACAGUAGGAGUAGCCUACCUACUUAGCUGCCUAUGCUUUAUUCCCAGAGCUCAAAUCCAUUUAAAGGAUCUUUAGACCCAUUUCUUAAGAUAUUUUGUGAUUUCUUCCUCACUUAAGGAAAAAUAACAUGAUUUCUUGCUGAAUAUAAAUAUACCUUGGACAGUCAAGAGUCUAAGGUUAAUUUCCAAUUAAGUGUGAAAUCAGCCAGUAGGAGGGUAGUGCUUCUGUCUCCUACAGGACCUACACACCCCCUCACUGAGUACCUUUGAAGUAACUCCCAUAGCACUCAGUGAGGGGGUGGGUUGGUCCUGCAGGAGACAGAAGAGAGAAGCAAUAUCCUGCUGGGAAUUGUAAUAAAUUUACACAUUCUGUCUCUAGGUCCCUUGUUCUUAAACCAUGGAAAUCCACAGUAAUAUGAGGAAUAAGAGCAGAAGUUAUAACCUGUGGACUGAGGCAAAAAUGAAUAUAAUAAUGCUGCUCAAGUUCCUUCCAAAGAGGUUAGAGGCCAAGGUCUGAUUGGCAGUGGCUAGUAAUACACAGGGAGCAAUAGAGGUACUCAGUCUCUAUUAAGUCCUUCUGGAUCUCAAGCCCACAAGGAGACAUAAUUCUGACUCCCACAGGAUGAUAGUAGGGGUGGGAAAGAGGUGAGGGACAGUCAGGACUGAGGUUGUCCAUACUCACAUCCUGAUGGCUCUGGGAACUACAGUAGGAUGGCACCUGCCAGCAUCAUGGGACCUGUAUGAGAGUAGCUGAGGAAGCAGAAGCUGCAGUAAUAAAUCCAAGGCUGACAAGACUAGUGGAAAGUCAGUUCCCACAGGCUU